UUCCUUUGCACAUUUGACAAA
rnacentral:piRNA from 1 species